GGGGGAUUCUGUAGCCUCUACUUCUGUCUCCCUAGACAGAAUUCUGGGCCAGAAACCCUCCCAACAGCCACUGGAGGGCCCUGUCUAUUCCUCCAGGGUGCAGAUGCAGGGGCCCAGGUGGCUGCCAGCAAAAUGCAGCUGGGGACUGGAGUGGAAGCUGCACCCUCAGGAAACAGGCUACACUUUCACCCCAGCCAGUUCCCAGCCUAAUUAGAGACCGGAACGGCAUUGAUCGUCCCUGGGCUCAUUAUGUCACAGCUGGGGAACAGCUGGCCAGUCUUUUCCAGGCCAUUAGCUGCGCCGUGAAGUGGAGAAAAGGCGGGGGUGAGCAAGCAGGAUCAAUACCCUGUCUGUGUGUGGGGAAAACAGCUUGGUGGCUGCCUCCCCUGGCUCUCUGGACUGUGUUUCUCUCAAAGGCUGCCUCCUGUGCACAAGCUUCGAGUUCACGCAUGGAAACCCAGCUCUAACCAUCUGGGAGCUUGGCUCUUGGAUCUCUCGCCUGCCAGAAGCUGUCCUGUCAGUCUUGAGACCCGACCUGGAGAGUCAUUGAGGUUUCUCAACAACAGCCAACCCUCUGAGGGACCCAUGUGACCCUCCGUGAAAGCUGACCCUCCGGUCCCAGGCAAGUUUUCUGAUGACUGAGCUUCCACGUGGCAUGUACCUGCAGCUGAGAAACCACCCUAGCAUGGGUCUCUGGCAUCUCUGGCCAACAGAAAUUGUGUUUCACAGUAAUUGAUUUCCUGAUUCCUCUUUCCUUCUCCUCCAAAAAGGACCACCCACCCUUCUCGACUUUUCAUCAUGCCCGGAUUAAACAGGAAAGGGGGAAAAAAAAUCUUUUCAGAUCAUGUAUAAGUUUAAUGUGCUAAUACCCCUAGAAGAGAUAAUACAGUCUCUUAAAUUCACAGUAAAAACAUGGAGAGAUCUAGCUUCCUUCUUUUUAAACUCUUAGCAAGCUAAUUUGUUGAGAGGUUAAUUUCAGGCGUUGUCUUGCUACUGUAAAAGACUGGAAAGAAAAGCUUGCUAAUUUCUCCCUCUGUGCCCACUAUCUCAAGAAUGAAUUCUUGGAUGACAUGGUCUUGGUUCAUCCUGGGCCUUGCCCCCAGUCAUCAAUUUUCAUACUUUGAUUAACAGCUUCUUUGUGUUUAGGGAGGCCAUCUUACAGAAAAUACCUCGAUGCCCACCACUGGCCUUCACUUUUGAGAAUUAAUAGAGAAAGUAUCAUGAGCUGACAACCAGGAAGUGCAGGUGCUGCUUCGGAAAGAAGGUAAGUGGGAGAGCUGGAUAGGACAGGAAGUUGGGGAGGGAAGGUGGGCUGUCUGUGGAAGGACACAGCUCCCAAGCCCAGUGGUGACUAGCAGGCUUGCAGGCUAAGCAGCAGUGUUCUUCAAUGGUACUCCAAGAUGUAUAGACUAGUGGCAUCAAAAAUAGAGAGGGAAGAACAAAAACAAAACAAAAAACAAAAACAAAAUAAAGCUCUUCUCCCAAAUUUUAGCGACUUCACAGUCCCGCAGAGAAAGCAGAAGG
rnacentral:lncRNA from 1 species